CGCGCUGCAGCUUGCACGCAAUUUUUUUUUAUCUUUUGACAGCAGAAUGUGGUUCCCCUGUAACUGGGCUUUCUCUGCACGACAAUAGGUAUAUAAUUUCAGUUCAACUUGUUAGAAAAACAUUAAGUUCUUGUUUAAUUAAACCGUUCCGCUUUGUUUAGCUCGUUUGAGUUUACUUGGCACCAAAACUGGUGAUUUUUGGUGACAUUCGUCCGGUAGUUGGCGACACCGCCAUUUCUCAGUCUGGUCAUCCUGCUGGUCCGACGUAACCAAAUCGAAAAUCACGAUUACUAAUCGAACGUUGAAACCUAUAUAAGCCUAUAAGCCUUGUUCUAUGGUUGAAACCUUUGAAUAUAAAACUAAGUUUUAGUUACUAAGUUAGUUUUAUAUUCAAAGGUUGAAACUGAUGGAAAAAAUCGCGCCCGAUGAGCCAUCGAAGAUUCCGGAAGGAUUCAGCAGAAAAUUAGUCAGCGAUUUAUAAUCGAUAUCGUCUGCUGAAUGCGACCAUUGUUUUAUGUUGUAAAUGUCAUCAACUCCAAUAAAUAAACAAGUCUGACAUGUCUUAACUAACUUAACGUAACUGUCACUCGACAACAGGUAAUUUGACGUUUUGCAGCGCCACCAUCGAUAGUUCAACCGGAAACAGCAGCAUAGAUCAUCACGAAAAAGAUCAAGAUCUUCAAAGAUAAAAAUCAUCAGACUAGAUUUAAUUUAUUUGUAACUAGUUUAAAUUUAUUCAGAUCCAAUGCUGUUUAAGGCCGUACAGCUUUUUCGCUUAUGAACUCCCCUUCCCAGUCCUUUUGUGCUUUGGUGGACAGUAAGGACAAAGUCGCCGAUCAAUUGACUUCAGACAUUCGUAAUUUUCUUUUCACCUGUGACGCGUACAGAAUUGCUUGCCACGUAAAGAACUUGUAUUGGAAAGACUGAUUUGCACUUAAACAUGAUGUUACAUCGUGCUAUUUCAACAGCGUCGAUAGAUUCUGAUCAGGAUGACUCAAAAGAGGACUCUCUAGAUAGCACAAGUGAUGACGUUCCUGGAUGCGCCUGUAAACACUGUGUAAGGCACCCUAAAGUCUACAGCGCUAUCAUUUUGUCGAUGGGUUUAUCACUAUUUAUCGCAAUCCUGAUUUGCAUAUUCUACUACCAAGCAUUUGAAAUUUGGGAAUGGUUGCCUGAAAAUAGUACUGCUGGAACUCGAAUUUCAAUAUCACCUAAAAAACAUUACAUGGAAAGGAAGUUGGGUCCUGAAAAUGAGAUCAUGGCCGAAAAUAAAACCCACCAACGAUGACAAUGAGAUAUACUAGAUUUAUUCGGAAUUAAUAGACGUUCCAUAGUAUCUAAAACAUGUUGAUUUUGGAAUUGUAAAUUAUUAUAUUUUUCAACCAGA